UAUAAAUCAAAGGUCAUUUCCAGCCACAGGAUUCUGUGAUUCAAAAAGCAACAAGUCUUUGAAGGGAAUAAAUUUCAGAGAGGUGGAUCUGGAUGGUCACUUCCUGUGAGCAGCCUGGGUGUCAGUUUGAUCCUGGAGCUCAGCCUGGAGGAGCUCACUCAGACAGCUUCCUUGAGAUGGUCCUGAUUCUGAGAUAAAGACAGCAUGGUAUAGGUAGAACAGCAAUGGAAUUGGAAUCAAAGUGCCUGAGACUAAAUGCUGACCAUUCACUUUUGGAUGCAUGAGCUUGGAAGAAAAAAAAAUACUUUACCUCUUUAGACCUCAGUUUCCUCAUCUCAGGUAAAAUAAAGCUAGGAAGUAUAAUUUCACAUGGCCCUUUAAAUGCUAACUCUAUGAUCCUGUGAUUUUUGCAGGUUCACAAGGAUAAUAAAUGUCAUUCUGACCAAGCAAAGCAUUUAUCCAUUAUACUAGUGGCUCUUAAACUUUUUGCUCUUAAGGCCCAUUAACAGUCUUAAAAAUUGUUGGGUAAUUCAAAGAGCUUUUUUAAGAAAUGUAGAUU